UCGAGUUAGGGUCUCUGCGGCCCGAUCUCCAACCCUGUGUUUAUCAUACCAUGUUGCUUUGGCGGGCCGGCGUUUCGACGCUGCCGGAGGGGGUGACUCCUCUAGAUCGUGCCCGCCGAAAGCCUACAUCUCAAAUUCUUUAAUCAACCGUGUCUGUCUCAGUCCUACAAAAAAUUAAAGCACA
rnacentral:misc_RNA from 1 species